CAAGGAUAUACAAACCAUCACAGCAUGCAUGUAUAUACGUGUGUAUAUGUGUGUGUAUGUAUGCAUGUAUACCCAUGUGCACACUCCCAAGUCCCUCACAAACAUUCAUGUAAUAAUAAUGAAUGAAAAAGUGGUCAUGAGUUUGAAAGAGAACAAGGAGGAGUAGAUAGGAUUCGGAGGGGGGAAAAGUAAGGGAGAAAUCACAUAAUUAUAUUAUAAGCUCAGUAUUAAAUAAUUUAAAACAUUAUCACACAUAGUUAUCCAUUCUAACUCUCCAGCUCUUUUGGUGUGGGUAUAUACUCUUUUUUGGGAGGGGGUAUAUACUCUUUAUUGUAGAAUUUCUAUAUGACAAACAAUGUUCAUCGUAAUUGCUCUAAGUACCUCAAGUCUUAAAGGACGUACUUAGGAUAUUAAUUCAUUGGUUGUGUGGCAUUCCCAAUUUUGUCUCCCCUGCCAACCAGUGAAUUACUGUGAUGCAUAAAAAUGUCACAUGUCAUGUCUGACAAAACAAUGAUGACACCUAACACAGCACUCAGACAUUGCCUCCUUAUUGAAGACCUGGACUACAGCUGGUGGCACUGUGAGGAGACAGUGGAUGAUGCAGGGUGUGGCCUUGUGGCAAGAAGUAGAAGGCUGCUGCCCUGCAGGAAGGCCCAGAGUAGCCUGUGGAAGGAUGAUCUGAGCAGUGCUAGUGGGACCCUCAUAUACUAACCUAUCGAUGGCCAGUGGCCAGACAUGGAUCCAAGAUCCCCUGGUCCUCCAGCAGACCACAGAGAACAACCAAGUUGUCCCAGAACAGAAGAGAUGGUAUAACUCCUCAGGUGCCCCAGCCAACCUUCAGCCAAUGACCUAAAUAAUAAAUACUUCUUGUAUCGA